UUUCUAUGCCAGGAUACAGGAAAAAAAGAUUAUUUAUGAAAUUCAGCAUUACAUUACAUAUCCUGGUAUUACUUUGGGGAAUCAUCUAUUUUAUUCCAGAUUUCAGCAAUUUAUAGAGAUGACAAAGAAGAUAAAGGAAAGCUUUAGAUGCAAAUAGCUACAUGUGUUUAAUGAGGACAUUAGCCCCACUGUGAGAUACCAGGAGGAUUUCACACAAUCUGCCUUCAGUCUUUGGAAUCAGGAGGAACCCGAACAUGGAUUUGACAUGUAUCAGGAGAUUCUGGAUUAUAGCUCUUCUGUGGACCCAAGAAUCAGAUCAACAAAUUAUGGAAUAAUUUCUUUUCUUAUGGAUAUGCUGUGUUUGACCAAAAUAGGGGAAAGUUCUUUGAGAUCCCAUCUACUUGAGAAAACAAUAUCCCCUGAUGCAAAGGAGAAAACUGACAAGAUCAGCAAGAAUAUUACAUUUUUCAAGAAAAUUAUGUGGU
rnacentral:lncRNA from 1 species